rnacentral:rRNA from 1 species
UCCCAGACUCCUACGGGAGGCAGCAGUGAGGAAUAUUGGUCAAUGGCCGAGAGGCUGAACCAGCCAAGUCGCGUGAGGGAAGACGGCCCUACGGGUUGUAAACCUCUUUUGUCGGGGAGCAAAGAGAGUCACGUGUGACUCAUUGAGAGUACCCGAAGAAAAAGCAUCGGCUAACUCCGUGCCAGCAGCCGCGGUAAUACGGAGGAUGCGAGCGUUAUCCGGAUUUAUUGGGUUUAAAGGGUGCGCAGGCGGUCUGUUAAGUCAGCGGUCAAAGCCCGGGGCUCAACCCCGUCCGGCCGUUGAAACUGGGGGCCUUGAGUGGGCGAGAAGAAGGCGGAAUGCGUGGUGUAGCGGUGAAAUGCAUAGAUAUCACGCAGAACCCCGAUUGCGAAGGCAGCCUUCCGGCGCCCUACUGACGCUGAGGCACGAAAGCGUGGGUAUCGAACAGGAUUAGAUACCCCAGUA